GACGUAGGGCGCGAGCGUUGUCCGGAUUUAUUGGGCGUAAAGAGCUCGUAGGCGGCUUGUCGCGUCGGCUGUGAAAUCCCGUGGCUCAACUGCGGGUCUGCAGCCGAUACGGGCAGGCUAGAGUUCGGUAGGGGAGACCGGAAUUCCUGGUGUAGCGGUGAAAUGCGCAGAUAUCAGGAGGAACACCGGUGGCGAAGGCGGAUCUCUGGGCCUUGCCUGACGCUGAGGCGCGAAAGCUAGGGGAGCGAACAGG
rnacentral:rRNA from 1 species